rnacentral:rRNA from 1 species
UACGGAGGGAGCUAGCGUUGUUCGGAAUUACUGGGCGUAAAGCGCACGUAGGCGGCUUUGUAAGUUAGAGGUGAAAGCCCGGAGCUCAACUCCGGAACUGCCUUUAAGACUGCAUCGCUUGAAUCCAGGAGAGGUGAGUGGAACUGCGAGUGUAGAGGUGAAAUUCGUAGAUAUUCGGAAGAACACCAGUGGCGAAGGCGGCUCACUGGACCGUUGUUGACGCUGAGGUGCGAAAGCGUGGGGAGCAAACAGG